rnacentral:SRP_RNA from 1 species
GGCGGGAGAGCGAUGGACGUGUCGCUCGUUAAUCCGGUCAGGUCCGAAAGGAAGCAGCUGUACCGAGUUGCCGCGGGUUGUUGUUCUCCCACCCAU